GCCGGGGUGGUGGAACUGGUAGACGCAGGGGACUCAAAAUCCCCCGGGCUUUUGCCCGUGCGGGUUCGACUCCCGCCCCCGGCACGA
rnacentral:tRNA from 1 species